GGAUUUUCACAAAAUAUUGGCCGAAAAGGGUUGCCCCCCCUAGAUUUUAAUUCUGGUUCAGGACGAACGCUGGCGGCGUGCCUAAUACAUGCAAGUCGAGCGGACAGAUGCGAGCUUGCUCCCUGAUGUUAGCGGCGGACGGGUGAGUAACACGUGGGUAACCUGCCUGUAAGACUGGGAUAACUCCGGGAUACCGGGGCUAAUACCGGAUGGUUGUCUGAACCGCAUGGUUCAGACAUAAAAGGUGGCUUCGGCUACCACUUACAGAUGGACCCGCGGCGCAUUAGCUAGUUGGUGAGGUAACGGCUCACCAAGGCGACGAUGCGUAGCCGACCUGAGAGGGUGAUCGGCCACACUGGGACUGAGACACGGCCCAGACUCCUACGGGAGGCAGCAGUAGGGAAUCUUCCGCAAUGGACGAAAGUCUGACGGAGCAACGCCGCGUGAGUGAUGAAGGUUUUCGGAUCGUAAAGCUCUGUUGUUAGGGAAGAACAAGUGCCGUUCAAAUAGGGCGGCACCUUGACGGUACCUAACCAGAAAGCCACGGCUAACUACGUGCCAGCAGCCGCGGUAAUACGUAGGUGGCAAGCGUUGUCCGGAAUUAUUGGGCGUAAAGGGCUCGCAGGCGGUUUCUUAAGUCUGAUGUGAAAGCCCCCGGCUCAACCGGGGAGGGUCAUUGGAAACUGGGGAACUUGAGUGCAGAAGAGGAGAGUGGAAUUCCACGUGUAGCGGUGAAAUGCGUAGAGAUGUGGAGGAACACCAGUGGCGAAGGCGACUCUCUGGUCUGUAACUGACGCUGAGGAGCGAAAGCGUGGGGAGCGAACAGGAUUAGAUACCCUGGUAGUCCACGCCGUAAACGAUGAGUGCUAAGUGUUAGGGGGUUUCCGCCCCCUUAGUGCUGCAGCUAACGCAUUAA
rnacentral:rRNA from 1 species